AGCAACAAAGAAGUUUUCCAAGUCCAAGAAGGAAAAGGAAUCCAAGAUGAUGAAGGAUUGACAAAGACAAACUUUCCUAAUCCUAAUGUACAAAGAUUUCAGCUCCAAAGAGGAGUCCUAAACACUUUAGGACACCUUAUCCCUUCACAAUCAGCCUUAUCCCUUAGUGCCGCACCUAUUCCCUUCUAGAAAUCUGAUUUCCUUGCCUUGCAAGGCUUUCUAGAAGCCUUAUCCACCCUAUCCCUUACCUGCCGCACCUAGGAGGCCUUUUCCCAUUCAAAAUCUGAUUGUUUUAAGCCUUUUCCUGAUGGGUUUUAAUUAUACAAGUCCAUAUCUGAUUCCCCUAGGGUUUUAAGUGCCUAUAUAUACUCAUAUUAACCCUUUGGCUGAAUUCACCACCUCCCAUAUACAUCAUUCACGCCAGAAAUCUGUCCCACAUCUCUGCCGCAGCUUCCCACCACCAUUCACCAUAAUUCCUACCUAAAAACAACCCUAGCCGCACCACCCAUCAACCCUAAACCCUUCCAUACCAUUCCCCAUCCAUUCUACACCAUAAAUCCACCCAAAAACCUGUCCACAAGCUUCAUGCCGCAACAAUGAGGAAGGGAGAUCCAUUGAUGCACCUGCUGUCCAAGUUGGAGCAAUUUAGGUGUUUUCUUUCCUUUGAUUUUAAUGUCUAAUUUUAUGUAUCUUUGCUUUGCAAGUAUGAGGAACUAAACCCCCCUUGGCUAGGGGGGAUUCAAAACCAUGUUUAUGCUUGCUAUAUGAUUUGAUUACUUCUAAUUGCGUUUCAUAAGUUGUGAAUUCAAUUUACUUAUCUAUGUGAAUUAAAACUGAUUUGUGUAUGUUGGUUAAGAGGGCCCGCUUAGUUUGCAUGCAUGAAUUUGAUGCUAGGAUAUCAGGGAAUUUCAAUUAAUUGUUAUGAACUUAU
rnacentral:lncRNA from 1 species